rnacentral:rRNA from 1 species
UACGUAGGUCCCGAGCGUUGUCCGGAUUUAUUGGGCGUAAAGCGAGCGCAGGUGGUUUAUUAAGUCUGGUGUAAAAGGCAGUGGCUCAACCAUUGUAUGCAUUGGAAACUGGUAGACUUGAGUGCAGGAGAGGAGAGUGGAACUCCAUGUGUAGCGGUGAAAUGCGUAGAUAUAUCGAAGAACACCAGUGGCGAAAGCGGCUCUCUGGUCUGUAACUGACGCUGAGGUUCGAAAGCGUGGGUAGCAAACAGG